CCUCCACUCGCUCAAUCCCCCACCCCCAACUCACCUACUCCUCUCCCAUCUCCAGCCGCCUCCUCCGGCAGCUGGUCGUGAGGCAAGCCGCCGGUGAGCCGCCCCGCGCUCCACCUGCCUCUACUUCCUUCUCCUCCUUCCCAUCUCCUCCCUGACCUCCCUCCCAUCUCUCUCCACGCCUGCGCACGGCGUAGGGACUGGGCUCUCCCGGAGAAGGUAGCCACGGCCGCGCCCCUUGGGUUCGAUCUCGACGAGAUCCUGGCGUUGCCGGGCCGUGGCGUUGGUGGCCUGACCUGCGGAUUUGGCGGUGGCCGGUGCUGCGGGAUGGCGUUCGUCGGGGAUCCGCGGUGCACGGGUCGCUGAGGCUGCCGAGGAGGUCGAGGCGCCGCCGCCUCCGGGGAGGUCCCCAUCGAAGCGCUGGUCAUGCCGGCUGUGGUGAGUCCCUGCCCCGCGCGCGCACCAACGAGGUGAGCCGUCGAUGGCUCUGCUCCGGGCGACUCCGCUCCCGCCUCCGGGGAGGUCCCCAUCGACGACGCUGCUCACCUCCGGUGCGGCCGGGCGUCCUCGCCGCGUUCAAUAAUGGCGUCACGGAAGGUUGCGGCCCUGCGGUGCGUCACGUAUGACGGGUCCUUCGCAUUCCAAACCUCCUCGUCAUCCAGGUUGGGAUCGCAACAGGGCAGGGAAAGUUCGUCGAUCUGGUUCGGAAGGCGGCCGACCUGAGGUACGUGGACCCAUGAGGCCCCUCAUCGCCAACGACUUCCCGCACCUCACCACCGCGGCGCAGGUCCGGCUCACGCAGUAACCAUGAUUAACUACUAGCGCGUGUGUCUGCCUGAUUAGUCGUGUACACUGAGAUACUACUAUCAAUAAGCACCUGGAUUGUUGUUUAGUUUUCACCACACUAUUAUUGAUGCACUGAAGAGUUUGGUGGAUGAUAGAUUAUAAGUGGCUAAUGAACGAAUCUGCUUUAAUUAGACAGUAUGUAGCAGCAGCUGUAUACUACUAAUCAUGUUGAAAACCUAUACUCUUCAGAUUUUAGUAGUUCCCAUGGCUAAUUCUUGUUGA